rnacentral:rRNA from 1 species
AUUGAACGCUGGCGGCAUGCCUUACACAUGCAAGUCGAACGGCAGCACGGGUGCUUGCACCUGGUGGCGAGUGGCGAACGGGUGAGUAAUACAUCGGAACAUGUCCUGUAGUGGGGGAUAGCCCGGCGAAAGCCGGAUUAAUACCGCAUACGAUCUACGGAUGAAAGCGGGGGACCUUCGGGCCUCGCGCUAUAGGGUUGGCCGAUGGCUGAUUAGCUAGUUGGCGGGGUAAAGGCCUACCAAGGCGACGAUCAGUAGCUGGUCUGAGAGGACGACCAGCCACACUGGGACUGAGACACGGCCCAGACUCCUACGGGAGGCAGCAGUGGGGAAUUUUGGACAAUGGGCGAAAGCCUGAUCCAGCAAUGCCGCGUGUGUGAGGAAGGCCUUCGGGUUGUAAAGCACUUUUGUCCGGAAAGAAAUCCUUGGCUCUAAUACAGUCGGGGGAUGACGGUACCGGAAGAAUAAGCACCGGCUAACUACGUG